CAGGAGGAUUUGUUAUUGGUGGAAAAAUUCCGGGAGGGUUUAUUAUUGGUGGAAGAAUGCCAGGUGGCCUUGUGAUUGGUGGUAGGAUGCCAGGUGGCCUAGUGAUUGGAGGGAUUACAACAGGAGGAUUAACUAUAGGUGGUAAAACUCCAGGUGGCGGUCUAGUCACUGGGGGUGAAAUGCCAGGUGGACGAGUGAUCGGAGGCGAAACGCCAGGUGGACGAGUGAUCGGAGGUGAUACGACAGGUGGAGGAAAGACGAUAGGUGGCAAAACCUUAGGAGGUGGCGGUUUGGUGGUUGGUGGAUGAGGACGGGGAGUCGAUGGUGGAGGGUGGGGUCUACCGGGAGCCUUAGGUGGAUGAGGGUGAUGAUGACCUGGAGAUUUUGGAGGAUGUGGAGGACGCGGAGUAGUGCCAGGUGGACUAGGUCGUUGGUAAGGUGGAUAAGGAGGAGUACAUGGGCAUUGACCAGAUGAAGCAUAAGCUGGUGGUAACAAACAUAUUGACAUGAAAAUCAU
rnacentral:lncRNA from 1 species